rnacentral:rRNA from 1 species
CCUACGGGUGGCAGCAGUGAGGAAUAUUGCACAAUGGGGGAAACCCUGAUACAGCGACGCCGCGUGAGUGAAGAAGUAAUUCGUUAUGUAAAGCUCUAUCAGCAGGGAAGAAAAUGACGGUACCUGAGUAAGAAGCCCCAGCGAACUACGUCCCAGCAGCCGCGGUAAUACGUAGGGGGAAAGCUUUAGCCGGAUUUGGUGGGUGUAAAGGGAGCGUAGGCGGCAGUGCAAGUCUGGAGUGAAAGGCGGGGGCUCAACCCCCGGACUGCUCUGGAAACUGUACGGCUGGAGGGCAGGAGAGGUAAGUGGAAUUCCUGGUGUAGCGGUGAAAUGCGUAGAUAUUAGGAGGAACACCAGUGGCGAAGGCGGCUUACUGGACUGUAACUGACGUUGAGGCUCGAAAGCGUGGGGAGCAAACAGGAUUAGAUACCCCAGUAGUC